rnacentral:rRNA from 1 species
CCUACGGGUGGCAGCAGUGGGGAAUAUUGCACAAUGGGGGAAACCCUGAUGCAGCGACGCCGCGUGAGCGAAGAAGUAUUUCGGUAUGUAAAGCUCUAUCAGCAGGGAAGAUAAUGACGGUACCUGACUAAGAAGCACCGGCUAAAUACGUGCCAGCAGCCGCGGUAAUACGUAUGGGGCAAGCGUUAUCCGGAUUUACUGGGUGUAAAGGGAGCGUAGGCGGUGCGGCAAGUCUGAUGUGAAAGCCCGGGGCUCAACCCCGGGACUGCAUUGGAAACUGUCGUACUAGAGUGCCGGAGGGGUAAGCGGAAUUCCUAGUGUAGCGGUGAAAUGCGUAGAUAUUAGGAGGAACACCAGUGGCGAAGGCGGCUUACUGGACGGUAACUGACGUUGAGGCUCGAAAGCGUGGGGAGCAAACAGGAUUAGAUACCCUGGUAGUC